GUGGGUAGAGCUCAGAGGCAGAGCAUGUGCUUGGUGUGCACAAGGUCCUGGGAUCAAUCCCUAGUGUCUCUG
rnacentral:tRNA from 1 species